rnacentral:snRNA from 1 species
GUGCUCACUUUGGCAGCAUGUAUAAUCAAAUUGGAACGAUACAGAUUAGCAUGGCGCCUUCGCAAGGAUGACACGCAAAUUCGUGAAGUGUUCCAUAUUUUU